UACGGAGGGUGCGAGCGUUAAUCGGAAUUACUGGGCGUAAAGCGCGCGUAGGCGGUUGCUUAAGCCAGGUGUGAAAGCCCCGUGCUUAACCUGGGCAUUGCAUUUCGAACUGGGCAGCUAGAGUUCUGGAGAGGAGAGGGGAAUUCCCGGUGUAGCGGUGAAAUGCGUAGAGAUCGGGAGGAACAUCAGUGGCGAAGGCGGCGCUCUGGCCAGAAACUGACGCUGAGGUGCGAAAGCGUGUGGAGCAAACAGG
rnacentral:rRNA from 1 species